rnacentral:rRNA from 1 species
AUUGAACGCUGGCGGCAUGCUUUACACAUGCAAGUCGAACGGUAACAGGGAGCUUGCUCCGCUGACGAGUGGCGAACGGGUGAGUAAUGCAUCGGAACGUACCCAGUCGUGGGGGGAUAACGUAGCGAAAGUUACGCUAAUACCGCAUAUUCUGUGAGCAGGAAAGCAGGGGGAUCGCAAGACCUUGCGCUGAUUGAGCGGCCGAUAUCAGAUUAGCUAGUUGGUGAGGUAAAGGCUCACCAAGGCGACGAUCUGUAGCGGGUCUGAGAGGAUGAUCCGCCACACUGGAACUGAGACACGGUCCAGACUCCUACGGAGGCAGCAGUGGGAAUUUUGGACAAUGGGGGCAACCCUGAUCCAGCCAUGCCGCGUGAGUGAAGAAGGCCU